CUACGGGAGGCUCCAGCUGGGAAUCUUGCGCAAUGGGCGAAAGCCUGACGCAGCGACACCGCGUGGAGGAAGAAGGCCUUCGGGUUGUAAACUCCUUUUAUAUGGGAAGAAAAAAAUGACGGUACCAUAAGAAUAAGCACCUGCUAACUACGUGCCAGAAGCCUCGGUAAUACGUAGGGUGCAAGCGUUAUCCGGAAUUAUUGGGCGUAAAGAGUAUCGUAGGCGGUUUAAUAAGUGUGUGGUGAAAUCUGUGGGCUUAACUCACAAAUUGCUACAUAUACUGUUAAACUGGAGUAUGCUAGAGGAUGCUGGAAUUUUCGGUGGAGCAGUGAAAUGCGUUGAUAUCGAAAAGAACACCAAGGGCGAAGGCAAGCAUCUGGAGCAAUACUGACGCUGAUGAACGAAAGCUAGGGGAGCGAAAGGGAUUAGAUACCCCGGUAGUC
rnacentral:rRNA from 1 species